ACACGUAGGGGGCGAGCGUUGUCUGGAAUUACUGGGCGUAAAGGGCGCGUAGGCGGCCUAAUAAGUCAGAUGUGAAACCCCCGGGCUUAACCCUGGGCUUGCAUUUGAAACUGUUGGGCUUGAGGACAGGAGAGGAAAGCGGAAUUCCCAGUGUAGCGGUGAAAUGCGUAGAUAUUGGGAGGAACACUAGUGGCGAAGGCGGCUUUCUGGACUGCACCUGACGCUGAGGCGCGAAAGCCAGGGGAGCGAACGGGAUUAGAUACCCCGGUAGUCCUGGCCGUAAACGAUGGAUACUAGGUGUGGGAGGUAUCGACCCCUUCCGUGCCGGAGCAAACGCAAUAAGUAUCCCGCCUGGGGAGUACGGCCGCAAGGCUGAA
rnacentral:rRNA from 1 species